GGGUGAGUAACACGUGAGCAACCUGCCCCUGACUCUGGGAUAAGCGCUGGAAACGGCGUCUAAUACUGGAUAUGUGACGUGACCGCAUGGUCUGCGUUUGGAAAGAUUUUUCGGUUGGGGAUGGGCUCGCGGCCUAUCAGCUUGUUGGUGAGGUAAUGGCUCACCAAGGCGUCGACGGGUAGCCGGCCUGAGAGGGUGACCGGCCACACUGGGACUGAGACACGGCCCAGACUCCUACGGGAGGCAGCAGUGGGGAAUAUUGCACAAUGGGCGCAAGCCUGAUGCAGCAACGCCGCGUGAGGGAUGACGGCCUUCGGGUUGUAAACCUCUUUUAGCAGGGAAGAAGCGAAAGUGACGGUACCUGCAGAAAAAGCGCCGGCUAACUACGUGCCAGCAGCCGCGGUAAUACGUAGGGCGCAAGCGUUAUCCGGAAUUAUUGGGCGUAAAGAGCUCGUAGGCGGUUUGUCGCGUCUGCUGUGAAAUCCCGAGGCUCAACCUCGGGCCUGCAGUGGGUACGGGCAGACUAGAGUGCGGUAGGGGAGAUUGGAAUUCCUGGUGUAGCGGUGGAAUGCGCAGAUAUCAGGAGGAACACCGAUGGCGAAGGCAGAUCUCUGGGCCGUAACUGACGCUGAGGAGCGAAAGGGUGGGGAGCAAACAGGCUUAGAUACCCUGGUAGUCCACCCCGUAAACGUUGGGAACUAGUUGUGGGGUCCAUUCCACGGAUUCCGUGACGCAGCUAACGCAUUAAGUUCCCCGCCUGGGGAGUACGGCCGCAAGGCUAAAACUCAAAGGAAUUGACGGGGACCCGCACAAGCGGCGGAGCAUGCGGAUUAAUUCGAUGCAACGCGAAGAACCUUACCAAGGCUUGACAUAUACGAGAACGGGCCAGAAAUGGUCAACUCUUUGGACACUCGUAAACAGGUGGUGCAUGGUUGUCGUCAGCUCGUGUCGUGAGAUGUUGGGUUAAGUCCCGCAACGAGCGCAACCCUCGUUCUAUGUUGCCAGCACGUAAUGGUGGGAACUCAUGGGAUACUGCCGGGGUCAACUCGGAGGAAGGUGGGGAUGACGUCAAAUCAUCAUGCCCCUUAUGUCUUGGGCUUCACGCAUGCUACAAUGGCCGGUACAAAGGGCUGCAAUACCGUGAGGUGGAGCGAAUCCCAAAAAGCCGGUCCCAGUUCGGAUUGAGGUCUGCAACUCGACCUCAUGAAGUCGGAGUCGCUAGUAAUCGCAGAUCAGCAACGCUGCGGUGAA
rnacentral:rRNA from 1 species